rnacentral:rRNA from 1 species
GACGUAGGGUGCGAGCGUUGUCCGGAUUUAUUGGGCGUAAAGAGCUCGUAGGCGGCUUGUCGCGUCGACCGUGAAAACUUGGGGCUCAACCCCAAGCCUGCGGUCGAUACGGGCAGGCUAGAGUUCGGUAGGGGAGACUGGAAUUCCUGGUGUAGCGGUGAAAUGCGCAGAUAUCAGGAGGAACACCGGUGGCGAAGGCAGGUCUCUGGGCCACUACUGACGCUGAGAAGCGAAAGCAUGGGGAGCGAACAGG